rnacentral:lncRNA from 1 species
AUUAAACUUUGAUAACUCUGUGUACCGAUAUAUCCAGAAAGAAGAUGAAGAGGAAUCGUGUUCAGACAGGACAUGGUUGUGCAUAUCAUAGGCUCUGGAUUGGCAACCGUCUUUCCUGAUCUGGAUGGGAAGAAGAUCAAUGAUGCUUUUCUGCUUGUUCGUCGUCUUGUGGAGUUCACAUGGAAUAUGGCAAGUCAUUUUUUAUAUAAAUAUAUUAAAAUAUUGCAUGAAUUAUGAUAAUAUAAUAUAUUUUUAAAGGGGUCAUAUGAUGUGAUUUCAAUUUUUCCUUUCUCUUUGGAGUGUUACAAGCUCUUGGUGCAUAAAGAAGAUCUGUAAAGUUGCAAAGACUGAGUCUCAAAUCCAAAGAAAUAUUCUUUAUAAAAGUUAAGAGUCAGUCACGACCUCCUAAAACGGCUUGUUCUAACACGCCCCCACAUCUCUACGUCAGUAUGUGGGAAGAUUUGCAUAAUGCCUCCCAGAUGUUCACGCAAAGAAAGAAGGCGUUACUUUUAUUCUCGCUGUUGCCGCUGCUGCUGUGUUGUGAAGACGUUGUGUGUUUUGUUGUGAAAGCUAAACUACUUUGUUUGGCCUUCCAAAAGAGGACACAACUAGAAAUCAGUGGUUAAAGGGAUACUCCAUCCCAAAAUGAAAAUUUUGUCAUUAUUCACUUACCCCCAUGUCAGUUAAGCUUUGCUUAUAUACAUCAUUUGAUAAAUCAUUUAAUAAAUCAAUCAGUAGUGAUGCCAAUCUCUAAAGCAUUAAUAAACGAGUGUUGCAUUACAUUUACAUCUUUAUAUUGAAGAAAAUCAGUCAAUGAAUCAGUGGAUUCUGUGACAGAUCAUCUCUCAUCCCAACAAAUAGUUUGAGAUCAUUUCUAAGGAGCCGGUGAAACGAGAGAGGAACCUUCACAACAGAGUGCAGAGUAAGGAAGGUCCUACUGACUCUGUGCAUUCACUGAAGAUCUCAGAUCUACAGCUGGAUCUAAUGUGUUUUCUUGAGAUGAUUGUUUUUUUCUGUGUCUCUCUAGACUCUGAUUAUGAGAAUGCCAAUCUCUCAGCAGACGUGGAUGUGGAGCUGAUGGCCUUUCAGUCAAUUAUAGGGGUUGAUUAUAAAGAUGGAAACAGAGCUAAUGCAAUGGAGAGCUGGGGUGAUGGUAGCCGCUGCCUGAAACUGAAGGGUCAGAUGAGAUACAUGCAUCUUCCUGGGUACUCCAGUCAUGGUGAGUUUAAGUGCCAUGUUUAA